GCUGGGAUACCUCAGUUGGUAGAGCAUGAGACCCUUAAUCCCAAGGUUGUGGAUUUGAGCCCCACAUUAGGUG
rnacentral:tRNA from 1 species